rnacentral:rRNA from 1 species
AAUCAACGCUGGCGGCGUGCCUCAGACAUGCAAGUCGAACGCUGCUGUUCGCCUUCGGGUGGACAGCGGAGUGGCGCACGGGUGAGUAACACGUAGGUAAUCUACCUUUGGGUGGGGAAUAACAGCCGGAAACGGCUGCUAAUACCGCAUAAUGCAGCGGCAUCACAUGAUGACAGUUGUUAAAGCGAGGGAUCGUAAGACCUCGCGCCUGAAGAGGAGCCUGCGGCAGAUUAGGUAGUUGGUGAGGUAAUGGCUCACCAAGCCUGCGAUCUGUAACCGGCCUG